rnacentral:rRNA from 1 species
UACGUAGGGUGCAAGCGUUGUCCGGAAUUAUUGGGCGUAAAGAGCUCGUAGGCGGUUUGUCGCGUCUGCUGUGAAAAUCCAGGGCUUAACCCUGGACCUGCAGUGGGUACGGGCAGACUAGAGUGCGGUAGGGGAGAUCGGAAUUCCUGGUGUAGCGGUGAAAUGCGUAGAGAUCAGGAAGAACAUCGGUGGCGAAGGCGCUCUGCUGGACCAUAACUGACACUCAGGGACGAAAGCUAGGGGAGCGAAUGGG